rnacentral:rRNA from 1 species
GGAUGCGAUCAUACCAGCACUAAAGCACCGGAUCCCACCAGAACUCCGAAGUUAAGCGUGCUUGGGCGAGAGUAGUACUAGGAUGGGAGACCUCCUGGGAAGUCCUCGUGUUGCAUUCC